ensembl:lncRNA
UCAGUUGUUAAUCAAUUGUUUAAUUGAUCUAAAUGUACAAGCCAAACAGUGAUAAACUAAAUAACAGUCCAUCCCAGUGCAUUGUCCAUCAAUACAAGAAAAUAGAAAACAGUUAAGCAUUUGUUAAAAACAGAUCUUUACACAAUAUGUAUGGCAUUUUAUGGUAAAAAUCUACCAUGUGGUAGAACCACCACCUAUUUUAGUUAUUGAGCUGCAUAGUCAUGAACAGUUGUAAUUUAGUAGACUGAGUUGACAUUGCAGUCCGGUACAGAAGAGAGCAAUGUGGAAUACUUCACCACACAGCUGAAAGCAGUAUAAAACAAGUGGUCUCGCUAGUAAAACAUUGAAAAAGCAUUCUAUUAAUAUGGCAGAUGUAGAGAGAAAACAUUUUUUACUUCUCAGGUAUGAAAAAAUUAAAUGGUAGAAUAUUUGUUUUAUUUUCAGGCAUGAAAAAGAUAGUGAUUGUUAAUUUAUUAUGCCCUCUUUUCCUUUUAGGCUAAACAACAAGUGGUCUUAAAUGCAUGGUGCCUAGAAUAUGGAAAUAUAAUGGCUCAGUAGAACAUUUAUUUUCAUUGCACCUGCACCAGUAGAGCAAAUAUUUUUCACAUUUACAGUGCACCACCCCACACACAAAAAAACUCAACAUUUAAUUCAGUUGAACUUAGAGAAAAACACUGCUAUAGUUCUCUGUAUGACAGACAUACAGACAAACAUGGAUCCUUGACUGAUCCAGGGGUCGAAUUACAGGUUGCUGGGCACCAUAACAUAUUAGAUAUAUUAACAUGGGUGCCUCCAUAAGCAUUAAAUAUAUACAGACCAAAAAUAAACACAACAUGCAACAAUUUCAAAGAUUUUACUGGGUUAUAGUUUAUAUAAGGACAGCUGUCAAUUGAAAUGAAUGAAUUAGGUCCUAAUCUAUGGAUUUCACAUGACUGGGAAUACAGAUAUGCAUCUGUUGGUCACAGAUACCUUGGAUCAGAAAACCAGUCAGUCUCUGGUUUCACCACCAUUUGCCUCAUGCAGCGUGACACAUCUCCUUCACAGAGUUGAUAAGGCUGUGGAAUGUUGUCCCACUCCUCUUCAAUGGCUGUGCGAAUUUGCUGGAUAUUGGCAGGAACUGGAACACACUGUCAUACACGUAGAUCCAGAGCAUCCCAAACAUGCUCAAUGGGUGACAUGUCUGACGAGUACGCAGGACAUGAAAGAACUGGGAAAUGUUCAGCCUCCAGGAAUUGUGUACAGAUCCUUGCGACAUGGGGCCGUCCCUUUAUCAUGAUGAAACAUGAGGUGAUGGCGGCGGAUGAAUGGCAUGACAAUGGGCCUCAGCAUCUUGUCACGGUAUCUCUGUACAUUCAAAUUGACAUCGAUAAAAUGCAGUUGUGUUCGUUGUCUGUAGCUUAUGCCUGCCCAUACCAUAACCCCACCGCCACCAUGGGGCUUUCUGUCCACAACGUUGACAUCAGCAAACCGCUCGCUCACAUAACGCCAUACAUGUGGUCUGUGGUUGUGAGGCCGGGUGGACGUACUGCCAAAUUCUCUCAAAUGACUUGAGACUUAUGGACGUUAAAUUCUCUGGCAGCAGCUCUGGUGGACAUUCAUGCAGUCAGCAUUCCAAUUUCAUGCUCCCUCAAAACAUGAGACAUCUGUUGCAUUGUGUUGUGUGACAAAUCUGUACAUUUUGGAGUUGCCUUCUAUCGUUCCCAGCACAAGGUACACCUGUAUAAUGAUCAUGCUGUUUAAUCAGCUUCUUGAUAUGCCACACCUGUCAGGCAGAUGGAUUAUCUUGGCAAAGGAGAAAUGCUCACUAACAGGGAUGUAAACAAAUUUCUGCACAAAAUUUGAGAGAAAUAAGCUUUUUGUGCUUAUGGACCAUUUCUGAGAUCAUUUAUUUCAGCUCAUUAAACUUGGGACCAACACUUUACAUGUUGCAUUUAUAUUUUGUUCAGUGUGUUAACUUUAUUCAGACACUAUUUUUAGUUUUGAACCCUGGGAUGGGCAUUUAUUCCUGCAGUAUAUCAGUGUGUUUCAGGAUGGACUUGUUCACAUGGCGGUGCAUUUCUUGGGAGAGCUUGUGUCUGCAUUUGCCUUCUGUCUGAUGCUUUCUGUUGAAAAAGAAAAAGGAAACUUCUUUGUUCAUUCAAGUUGACCUACGGGCUACGGACCAUUACUGGUAGAGAUGAUAAAAGAUGGUCAAACCAGCAUUUAAUGUACUUAUGUCAUUAAUAACCACAAUAUCAGUGGUGGAAAAAGUACUAAAUUGUCAUUCUUGAGAAAAGUACAAGUAAAUACUAUACAUCAAAUUCCUUAUAUUAAGCAAACCAGACGAUACAAUUCUUGUUUUUUAAAUUUACACAGAGAGCCGGGGGCACACUCCAAAACUCAGACAAUUUAUAAAUGCAGAAUUCAUGUUUAGUGAGUUCGCCAGAAGUGGCAGUAAGGAUGAAAACCCGUUAUAUUGGUAAUUGAAUCGGACUAUAUUGCUGUCCUACCUGAGCACUCGAAAUGUGACCAGUGCUUUUGGGUGACAGGGAAAAUGUAUGGGAGUAAAAAGUACAUAUUUGCUUUAGGACUGUUUUAGAAUAAAAGUAAAAGUUGUCAACAAUAUAAAUAAUAAAGUAAAGUUCAGAC